CUUCCGCAAAUCCAACCAAUCAGCGCGCGCCUUUAAUCCAGCUGACCAAUCAGAAUUAAACCGCACCACCAACCGUUCACUUUAGCCCCGCCCACCAUGUGACGCGACCUGGCGUGACGCAAGAGCCAUCAGCUGUUUUUGUUUGGCUCCUGUUGGGAUCAUUUCGGGUCUUCGGCAGUGUGAGACGGCUCCAGCGCAUCCGGGGGCUCCGGUGAAGGCGGGGCCGGGCGGAGGUCGCCGGAGUUCGGCAUGGAGAGCGGAGAUGGAGGCGGAGGAGCCCGCGGCCCGGCACUGCGCUGCGCCUCCUUUAACCAGGACUCCACAGAGCAUACUCUGCUCUGAUUGGUCAGACGUCCCAGUCUGUCGUGAUUGGUCUACCGCUGUCAGCGAGCAGUCGUUGAAGACCAGAGACGGGGCUUUUUGUUACAAACCUACGUAGGUUCGUACAGGAAGUAAAGUCUGGAAUCACUAACCACUCAUUUCAGCUGUUCAGAAUCGAUUCCUUCUUUUGGGAGUCGAUAACUCUGCUUGUCCUGAGCUACGUAUAUAAUACACUACAUGAAAGGUAAUAUUUGAAAAACUAUAAUAGGUGCACUUUAAGUCCGAUGGAAUUGCAGCACGUCGUGCUUCAAUAAAUGUUCAUUCAAAUCAGAAUGAAACAUACUGUACGGUUUAAUAAUGAAAGCGGAUCAACCUGUAUGUCUGAAAGGAUGCUUUCACAUAUUCAUGGUUGAGCUUUUUUAUGAAUAGAACCCUGGUGUGACUCGACUUCAGGAAAUGAAUAACAAAAACGGCCUGCGUUUUGGGUUGCAGCAUUUUUUUCCCUGUAAAUGUUAGUUGCUAAACUGAGCCAGUGGACAGAGCUGUAGCACUGCAGGAAUGCUCUGGAGUUUCGUUUAACUUUUUAAAAAUUUUUUUUUUACCAGAGGCAAAGAAAGGAAUUUGCGCCUGUUUUGGUGGCGCCCGUGUUCAGCGUUGAAUUUAUUUGUGAUGUCACACUCCACAGUUAAUGGC
ensembl:lncRNA